ACGCCCGUAGCUCAGUUGGCAGAGCGGUGGGACGGUACCCGUACCCCCCGGUCCCGGGUUCAAGUCCCGGCGGUCGCU